rnacentral:rRNA from 1 species
UACGUGGGGGGCAAGCGUUGUUCGGAAUUACUGGGCGUAAAGGGCUCGUAGGUGGCCAACUAAGUCGGACGUGAAAUCCCUCGGCUUAACCGGGGAACUGCGUCUGAUACUGGAUGGCUUGAGUUCGGGAGAGGGAUGCGGAAUUCCAGGUGUAGCGGUGAAAUGCGUAGAUAUCUGGAGGAACACCGGUGGCGAAGGCGGCAUCCUGGACCGACACUGACGCUGAGGAGCGAAAGCCAGGGGAGCAAACGGG